rnacentral:rRNA from 1 species
CCUACGGGAGGCAGCAGUCGAGAAUCAUUCACAAUGGGGGAAACCCUGAUGGUGCGACGCCGCGUGGGGGAAUGAAGGUCUUCGUAUUGUAAACCCCUGUCAUGUGGGAGCAAAUUAAAAAGAUAGUACCACAAGAGGAAGAGACGGCUAACGCUGUGCCAGCAGCCGCGGUAAUACAGAGGUCUCAAGCGUUGUUCGGAAGCACUGGGCGUAAAGCGUGCGUAGGCGGUUUCGUAAGUCGUGUGUGAAAGGCGCGGGCACAACCCGCGGACGGCACAUGAUACUGCGAGACUAGAGUAAUGGAGGGGGAAGCGGAAGUCUCGGUGUAGCAGUGAAAUGCGUAGAUAUCGAGAGGAACACUCGUGGCGAAGGCGGGUUCCUGGACAUUAACUGACGCUGAGGCACGAAGGCCAGGGGAGCGAAAGGGAUUAGAUACCCCAGUAGUC